rnacentral:lncRNA from 1 species
GAUAAAUCAGCCAUCAAAGUAGCUACCAAAGCUGUUCUUCACGAAGAACAGUUCGAGGUGCCUACUUUGGACCUCUAUAACUUGAUGAUCGUGUAACGUUUAUGUGAUCUAUCAAUUCCAGUGUGUAGACAACAUGUAGGACUACAACUCUAACACUUAACAUCAUCAUAACAACAAGAAAUCAAGCAUCUAAAGUAUGGUCAAACCUUAUCAGAAAAAUUAACACUUAGAAAAUUCUGGGCUGCCCAGAAUCUCCUGGUCAAUGCCGGUCAACCCACUUUAACCUUAAAUAACUCUUAAUACGUAAUAUAUAUGGACCUGAUUCUUUUUGGAGGUUAAAUACCACAUAACAAGUGACACAUAUCAACCUUUAGAACACAAAACACAUUAAAUCGGACCGAGAUAUAAGGCCUGACAUUUGCCAAAAAAAUAUUUUCUGGACACUUAGAAUAUUUUCUGGGUUUGAAAAACAGCCGGUCAAUGCCGGUCAACCCACUUUGACCGCUUAUAAAUCCCGAUCUACAAUAG